AACGAACGCUGGCGGCAGGCCAAACACAUGCAAGUCGAGCGAAGCCUUCGGGCUUAGCGGCGGACGGGUGAGUAACGCGUGGGAACGUGCCCUUUGGUACGGAAUAGCCCCGGGAAACUGGGAGUAAUACCGUAUGUGGUCGAGAGACGAAAGAUUUAUCGCCAAAGGAUCGGCCCGCGUUGGAUUAGGUAGUGGGUGGGGUAAUGGCCUACCAAGCCGACGAUCCAUAGCUGGUUUGAGAGGAUGAUCAGCCACACUGGGACUGAGACACGGCCCAGACUCCUACGGGAGGCAGCAGUGGGGAAUCUUAGACAAUGGGGGAAACCCUGAUCUAGCCAUGCCGCGUGAUCGAUGAAGGCCUUAGGGUUGUAAAGAUCUUUCGGUGGGGAAGAUAAUGACUGUACCCACAGAAGAAGCCCCGGCUAACUCCGUGCCAGCCGCCGCCGUAA
rnacentral:rRNA from 1 species